GCUUAACACAUGCAAGUCGAACGGUAGCAGGUCCUUCGGGAUGCUGACGAGUGGCGGACGGGUGCGUAACGCGUGGGAAUCUGCCCAAUAGUGGGGGAUAACCCGGGGAAACUCGGGCUAAUACCGCAUACUCCCUACGGGGGAAAGCGGGGGACCGUAAGGCCUCGCGCUAUUGGAUGAGCCCGCGUCCGAUUAGCUUGUUGGUGGGGUAAAGGCCUACCAAGGCGACGAUCGGUAGCUGGUCUGAGAGGACGACCAGCCAUACUGGGACUGAGACACGGCCCAGACUCCUACGGGAGGCAGCAGUGGGGAAUAUUGGACAAUGGGGGCAACCCUGAUCCAGCAAUACCGCGUGUGUGAAGAAGGCCUUCGGGUUGUAAAGCACUUUUAGCAGGAAAGAAAGCCUGUACGCUAAUACCGUACGGUUUUGACGUUACCUGCAGAAAAAGCACCGGCUAACUCCGUGCCAGCAGCCGCGGUAAUAC
rnacentral:rRNA from 1 species